AUUGAACGCUGGCGGCAUGCUUUACACAUGCAAGUCGAACGGUAACAGGCCGCAAGGUGCUGACGAGUGGCGAACGGGUGAGUAAUGCAUCGGAACGUGCCCAGUCGUGGGGGAUAACGCAGCGAAAGCUGCGCUAAUACCGCAUACGAUCUCUGGAUGAAAGCGGGGGACCGAAAGGCCUCGCGCGAUUGGAGCGGCCGAUGUCAGAUUAGGUAGUUGGUGGGGUAAAGGCCCACCAAGCCAUCGAUCAGUAGCUGGUCUGAGAGGACGACCAGCCACACUGGAACUGCGACACGGUCCAGACUCCUACGGGAGGCAGCAGUGGGGAAUUUUGGACAAUGGGGGCAACCCUGAUCCAGCAAUGCCGCGUGAGUGAAGAAGGCCCUCGGGUUGUAAAGCUCUUUUGUCAGGGAAGAAAAGGUUCGGGCUAAUAUCCUGGGCUCAUGACGGUACCUGAAGAAUAAGCACCGGCUAGCUACGUGCCAGCCGCCGCCGUAACAC
rnacentral:rRNA from 1 species